GGGGCUGACCGGUUUUGACAGGCCGUGUGCGGCCGUGUGUAAGCAUGCAGGCUCAUAGGAUGAGAGCCUUAAAAGAUAGUCCUGACAAUUACGUGGCGAAGAAACUUACGCCAUGGCUGCUUAAUCUCGCGUAACGCGUGAUUAGCUUAUCCCGCUUAAGAAGCCGGAGGCCAUCAUCGCUCAAUGCCUAUGUUUUGCAGGUGUUGACCAAGCGGUGUCGAUUAGCAAAACCGCUUGCAGCGAGGUUACUAAGCUGCACUAAGACAUAGUAACUACGGUAAGGGUUGGUUGUUAUCUGCCGGCCACUGCCCUACAACCAAAGAUAACUAAGCAUGUAGAAGGCGCGAGUCUCACCUUCUCUGGACCAGGGUUCGAUUCCCUGCAGCUCCACAA
rnacentral:tmRNA from 2 species